rnacentral:tRNA from 1 species
CCGAGUAGUUCACAUGGCAGAACAGCUGCCUUAUCAGCCAGACGCCGGUUCGAAUCCGGCCAUCCCGAA